rnacentral:pre_miRNA from 1 species
AUAAUACUCCCUCCGUCCAACAAAAGAUGUCUCAAGUUUGUUAAAAUUUGGAUGUAUUUAGACAUGACUUAGUGUAUAGAUGCAUUCAAAUUUAGUCAAAGUUGAGACAUCCUUUGUUGGACGGAGGGAGUAAUAG